AUUGAACGCUGGCGGCAUGCCUUACACAUGCAAGUCGAACGGCAGCACGGGAGCAAUCCUGGUGGCGAGUGGCGAACGGGUGAGUAAAGCAUCGGAACGUGCCCAGUCGUGGGGGAUAACAUAGCGAAAGCUACGCUAAUACCGCAUACGAUCUGUGGAUGAAAGCGGGGGACCGUAAGGCCUCGCGCGAUUGGAGCGGCCGAGGUCAGAUUAGGUAGUUGGUGAGGUAAAGGCUCACCAAGCCGACGAUCUGUAGCUGGUCGGAGAGGACGACCAGCCACACUGGGACUGAGACACGGCCCAGACUCCUACGGGAGGCAGCAGUGGGGAAUUUUGGACAAUGGGCGCAAGCCUGAUCCAGCAAUGCCGCGUGCAGGAUGAAGGCCUUCGGGUUGUAAACUGCUUUUGUACGGAGCGAAACGGCUUCCACUAAUACUGGGGGCUAAUGACGGUACCGCAAGAAUAAGCACCGGCUAACUACGUGCCAGCCGCCGCAGUAAUAC
rnacentral:rRNA from 1 species